rnacentral:lncRNA from 1 species
AGAGGAAAUUUCUUGAUUCUUGAUAUUUUAGCCAAUGGUUUUAAUUAGUUGGAAAACAAUAUUUAGCAGUACAAUAACUUUACUCUGAAUGUCAUCAUUGUGCAAAAGGCUAAAAAAUUAUUUUAAUAUAGAAAUUCACUUCCAAAUUUUCUGAAUAAUUUUCAAGAGGUACAUUAUGGAAACUCAAUAAACUCAAGUGUGGAAAAACAUAACUGAGCUAUUUAAGAUAAGACUCCAAGAGGGGACAGUGAGAUUAAACUUCCUGUGGUGUUUUUAAAAAACUAAACAGUUUUUAAUAAAUGUAACAUUGAGGUUUUAACCUGUUGGUAGUGACUGUCUAUAAUAAAAAAUUAUAGAUAUUUGAGAUUUUUUCCUUCCUUUGGGGGACACUUAAAUAUAGAAAAUGACUGAAGUCAUAAUGGCAAAGCCAGGAAACAAAAGAAAGGAAGAAAUAACUAUAUAUUCUAUUAACCUAAAAGUUAGUUACCCAGAAUUUUUCAUAUUGUAGCGAGGGCUAGAGUUU